rnacentral:tRNA from 1 species
GGGAGUGGUUCGGGGCUGGGCCCCGCACGGCCUUCAAAGCCGUUGGGGGCCGUUUAGGACGGGCCCGGUGGGUUCGAUUCCCAUGCACUCCCGCCA